AAAAAAAAAAAACAGAAACACAAAUGAAUUUUAUAAUUUAUUCAUAUUUUUCUUUCCGCGAUCGGCUCUUUUUGUGCGCGAAUAAUCCACUAAUUUUUCCCGCAAGACGCACUUAGCACCAAAGACGCUCAGCUACAACGGUACAACAAAUGAAACGAGAAGGCAGCAAUUUUUGGUCGAAUAACAACAAAUCACCAAAAAAAACGGGACACGUUGACAUAUAUAUUGGUUUAAGUUAGUGGAAGGCGCGGCUAAGAGGCAACGGUACAGCAACUGGAAUUUCCAAGCAACUCCACUCAA